AAAGAACCUGCGGGUCUAUCAUGCAGUCGAGCGGACAGAUGGGAGCUUGCUCCCUGAUGUUAGCGGCGGACGGGUGAGUAACACGUGGGUAACCUGCCUGUAAGACUGGGAUAACUCCGGGAAACCGGGGCUAAUACCGGAUGGUUGUUUGAACCGCAUGGUUCAAACAUAAAAGGUGGCUUCGGCUACCACUUACAGAUGGACCCGCGGCGCAUUAGCUAGUUGGUGAGGUAAYGGCUCACCAAGGCAACGAUGCGUAGCCGACCUGAGAGGGUGAUCGGCCACACUGGGACUGAGACACGGCCCAGACUCCUACGGGAGGCAGCAGUAGGGAAUCUUCCGCAAUGGACGAAAGUCUGACGGAGCAACGCCGCGUGAGUGAUGAAGGUUUUCGGAUCGUAAAGCUCUGUUGUUAGGGAGGACCAGGGAUAGCGUUCAA
rnacentral:rRNA from 1 species